rnacentral:rRNA from 1 species
UACAGAGGUCCCGAGCGUUGUUCGGAUUUAUUGGGCGUAAAGGGUGCGUAGGCGGCGGAGUAAGUUGGGUGUGAAAUCCCGAGGCUCAACCUCGGAAUUGCAUUCAGUACUGCUUCGCUCGAGUACUGGAGAGGAGGCUGGAAUUUACGGUGUAGCAGUGAAAUGCGUAGAUAUCGUAAGGAAGGCCGGUGGCGAAAGCGAGCCUCUGGACAGUUACUGACGCUGAUGCACGAAGGCCAGGGGAGCAAACGGG